GAUGAACGCUGGCGGCGUGCUUAACACAUGCAAGUCGAACGAAGCACUUUAUUUGAUUUCCUUCGGGACUGAUUAUUUUGUGACUGAGUGGCGGACGGGUGAGUAACGCGUGGGUAACCUGCCUUGUACAGGGGGAUAACAGUUGGAAACGGCUGCUAAUACCGCAUAAGCGCACGGCAUCGCAUGAUGCAGUGUGAAAAACUCCGGUGGUAUAAGAUGGACCCGCGUUGGAUUAGCUAGUUGGUGGGGUAACGGCCCACCAAGGCGACGAUCCGUAGCCGACCUGAGAGGGUGACCGGCCACAUUGGGACUGAGACACGGCCCAAACUCCUACGGGAGGCAGCAGUGGGGAAUAUUGCACAAUGGGCGAAAGCCUGAUGCAGCGACGCCGCGUGAGCGAAGAAGUAUUUCGGUAUGUAAAGCUCUAUCAGCAGGGAAGAUAAUGACGGUACCUGACUAAGAAGCAC
rnacentral:rRNA from 1 species